ACAAUAAUAUCAUGUACCAUUUUGCGCACGCAAAGCAUCUUGUACAGGAACAUUUAAUUCGAGUAAUAUAUCCCUCUCGGAAUCGUACAGCGUUAUUUUUUCAGUCCCCAUCAUAAAUUUGAAUUGAAAAUGGCGCACAAAAAUAUCAAACGACCACAAACACCCACCUAUUUGAUGUGGGCGAAGCGAUCGCAUCGCGGUCGCCAAUGAUGACGUCAUCGAUGACGUUUCAGAGACUGCUCACAGCGACCGCGGCCUUAAGUGGAACGAGACAGAGGGUGUUGCGAUCGUUGCGAGCGUUAAAUGGAACGCACCCAUUUUAACUGAUCCGUAAAAGUCAGGUAGGAGUAGAUAAAAUUGUCCAGAAAGAUGAUAGGUUUCUAUGUUAUUUGGAAUUUGUCCAUUGUGUAGCCAGCGACACCCGAUAAAUUCCGUAGCUUAUGAUGUGAGUGAAGCAUAAAGCGAGGUGCAGUAUAUAUAGACGCAAAAGAUUACAAGAAAUGACAGGUCGUGUGUCAAGUGGAUGAAGUGGAAUAAUACCAAAUUAGGAAGAAAAGGGAUGGAACUCAGAUGGGUCAGAAGGCUGUAUGGGAGAUUUGAGGGUCCUCAGAAAAAGCCAAAUUCACAAUGUGAUAUGGAGCUGGCAUUUUUAACCGAGACAGAGUGAGUUCUAGUUUCGCCGUAGCAAUUCGGUUUAAAGGGCACGCCCAGAAUAUGUGUUUCCGAUCUUGAAAUGGGGCAUUGCAUUGACAAGCCUCGGAUGUAGACGCACCGAUCCUAAAAAGAACCAGGGUGGUUAUAUGUGAGAAGGAGACCAUUUAAAGAAGUUUAUCCCUUUGUAUUGAGCCUGUUCAAGAAGGAAGUUAUAAGCCUUAAGUUUAAGGUUACUUUUGCAGUGCACUGCCAAGUCUGACCAAACCAUCUUGGUGUUGACAGUGAAGAUGUUGGAGGGCUCCGAGAAUAGCAGAUGCUUCAGCAAAGAAGAUGGAGGCUUUAUUGCUAUACCUAAACUUCCUGGAUAAACCAAGGUUCUUGGCAAAGAUUGCUGCCUCACAUCUCUCAGGGGAGGAGGAUCGCGACCCGUCUGUAUAGAUAUAUAUCCAGUUUCGGAAUUUAUUACGAAUUGGGCUGCUAGUGGAAUGGAAAAGCAAAUAGGAAGAGGAUGUUUGCUAGCUUCC